CCUGCCGUUGCCGGCGACCGGCGCACGGGUGAGUAACACGUAUGCAACCUGCCCGUGGCAGGGGGAUAAGCGGGGGAAACCCCGUCUAAUACCGCGUAACGCGGCCUUGGGGCAUCCCAAGGCCGCCAAAGGGAGCAAUCCCGGCCACGGAUGGGCAUGCGGCGCAUUAGCUAGUCGGCGGGGUAACGGCCCACCGAGGCGACGAUGCGUAGGGGUUCUGAGAGGAAGGCCCCCCACAUUGGAACUGAGACACGGUCCAAACUCCUACGGAAGGCAGCAG
rnacentral:rRNA from 1 species